rnacentral:rRNA from 1 species
UUGGAGGGCAAGUCUGGUGCCAGCAGCCGCGGUAAUUCCAGCUCCAAUAGCGUAUAUUAAAGUUGUUGCAGUUAAAAAGCUCGUAGUUGAAUUUCGGGAUCAGCAGGUUGGUCGUGCCUCUGGUAUGCACUGGUUUCGCUGAUUCCUCCUUUCUGAAGAACUGUAAUGUCAUUAAUUUGGUGUUGCAGGGAAACAGGACUGUUACUUUGAAAAAAUUAGAGUGUUUAAAGCAGGCUAGCGCUUGAAUACAUUAGCAUGGAAUAAUGAAAUAGGACGUUUGAUCCUAUUUUGUUGGUUUCUAGGAUUGACGUAAUGAUUAAUAGGGAUAGUUGGGGGCAUUAGUAUUCAAUUGUCAGAGGUGAAAUUCUUGGAUUUAUUGAAGACUAACUACUGCGAAAGCAUUUGCCAAGGAUGUUUUCAUUAAUCAAGAACGAAAGUUAGGGGAUCGAAGACGAUCAGAUACCGUCGUAGUCUUAACCAUAAACUAUGCCGACUAGGGAUCGGAUGAUGUUAAUUUUUUAAUGACUCAUUCGGCGCCUUACGGGAAAC